GUAAGCGGGGCGUGAAGGCGGGCGGCCGAGGGGGCGUGUGAAGGCCUGCAGCUCCAAAGGCGCGGGCUCCCGGGUGCACCGGGCGCGAGGCCGGGAGUGGAAACUGAGGCCCGGAGCGAGGCGGCGGUUCCAAGGUCACGCGGCGGGGCGGGCCUUCCCGGGCUCCCGAGGCCACCCUGUCGCUUCCUGCGCCGCCCGAAGGGCUCGGGGGCUCAAGAUGUGAGGGAAACUGUGGGUCCCGCGGCCUCGGAACCCAGGCCGUGCCGGCGUCCGUGGGACUUGCCCGCGGCCGAGAACUAUUUUAUUCUCCCGACGCUGGGGCCACGAAGUCGGGCUCCUGGGGAAAUACUACACCCGCCAGCUUUUGAGAGUUGGAGGAGAGGAGAAUGGGCCCUCCGAGGGCCUGUUUGAGCGCAGGCUCAGGGAUUGGCUGCCUGGCUCACAUCCCGGUUUGCCCAUUUACAGGUUAUGACCUUGGCUCUCCCGGGGCCUCAGUUCCCCCAUCUGAAAAAUGGGGGUGUGGAGUGGGUUCCCUUCCUCCCCCAGGGUUCUUGGGUCUAGUGAGGCCAGUAAAACGCUUGACACAGACCCUGGCACACAGAAAAUCUGAAAACUGUCAUUAUUGUACUGAUGCGUUAUUCAUCUCAUCCAGUGUGCACUGGACUCGGCAAGUCCGAAAUUAGGCUCUAGCCGUGUGCUUAAGACUUUAUUUUGUUGUGGUCAGUAAUUGUUACUCUCACUUCCAUUUCGCCAUUCCGACAUUCAUCUAGUGUUCCUCCUCGAUGUGUGAGAUCCUUGGGGGAGGGGUGGCUUCCCUUAAGACAACAAAAUUUUAAUUGUUUUCCAUUACUGUAGUUAUAAUAGCCAACUUUUUUUUUGAGAACCAUUUUGCAUUCAGUUCACUUAAUAUUUAUUAAAUCAUCUAGUACAGUAAGUUUUAAAAUAACCAUUCCAGGCCCUGGGAAUACAACAAUAAACAAGAUAGAUUGAAUGAGGGUUUUGAGGUUAGUUAGGAGAGGGGAGAGACACAGUAAAUUCGGAAACAUACACGUUUUGCAUUUUUUUUCUUUUUUCUGUUUUUUUUUUUUUUUUUUUUUUUUUUUUGAGACGGAGUUUCACUCUUGUUACUCAGGCUGGAGUGCAAUGGCACGAUCUUGGAUCACCUCAACCCCCGCCUCCUGGGUUCAAGCGAUUCUCCUGCCUCAGCUUCCCGAGUAGCUGGGACUACAGGCACUCACCACUGAGUCCAGCUAAUUUUUAUAUUUUUAGUAGAGACGGGGUUUCACCAUGUUGACCAGGAUGGUUUCGAUCUCUUGACCUCGAGAUCCACCCGCCUCGGCCUCCCAAAGUGCUGGGAUUAUAGGCCAGGCCUGCAUGUUUUUUUCUUGUUUAAUCUUGUUGACAUUCUAAGUAAGACAUUAUUUGAGGUAGCCCAUUUUGCAGAGGGUAACAGAAGGUACUGUGAGUGUUCAUCUCAGAGCUGAUGUAAUUAAACACAUGAAAGGGAGGAUUUACGCCACCUUUUUUGUUUGGCACUCAUUAAAUGUUGGGUUGAAGAUACAAAAAGUAGAUAUACCUAGGUUGCAGUUACUGCUUUUGAUGUUUUGAUCCAUUGUUACUGAAAUUUCCAACUAAAGAGGCAGAUAGUGGUUACCCUUUUAGGCUUGGAUAGGUGUGGUAUCUCAGUAAAAUGAAAGGACUUUUUUUUUUUUUUCUUUUUUGGAGACAGAGUCUGGCUCGGUCGCUCAGGCUGGAGUGCAGUGGCAUGAUCUUGGCUCAAUCCAACCUCCACCUCCCAGGUUCAAGCUAUUCUCCUGUUUCAGCCUCCUGAGUAGCUGGUACUACAGGCGCCGGCCACCAUGCCCGACUAAGUUUUUAUUUAUUUAUUUGUUUAUUUAUUUAGAAGAGAUAGGUUUUUCACCAUGUUGGUCAGUCUGGUCUUGAACUCCUGACCUCAAGUGAUUCACCUGCCUCAGCCUCCCAAAGUGCUGGGAUUACAGGUGUGAGCCUCUGCACCUGCCGUUGAUUGACUUUUUUUUUUUUUUUUUUAAAGACGGGUUUCACCGUGUUGGUCAGGCUGGUCUUGAACUCCUGACCUCAGGUGAUCCACCCGCCUCAGCCUCCCAAAGUGCUGGGAUUACAGGAGCGAGCCACUGCGCCCAGCCUGACUUUUUUUUUUUUGAUGGAGUUUCAUUCUUAUUGCCCAGGCUGGAGUGCAGUGGCUCCAUCUUGGCUCACUGCAACCUCCACCUCCCCGGUUCAAGUGAUUGUCCCGCCUCAGCCUCCCCAGUAGCUGGGAUUACAGGCACACGCCAUCAUGCCUGUCCCAAAGUGUCGGGAUUACAGGCGUGAGCCAUUACACCCAGCUCACGUUUGUUUGUUUGUUUGUUUGUUUGUUUUUAAUAGAGACGGGUCUCUCACUGUUGCCCAGGGUGGUCUCCUGGGCUCAAGUGGUUGGCUGCCUUGGCCUCCCCCCAGGCAGUGUUCUUAAUGGCCACACCAUCAAGACAAUUAAACAGCAGUUAGUAGCCUAGUUUAAUUUAAAAAGGCAGAGAUAUACACGAGGCAGGUUGUUUGGCAUAAUAGAAAAAGCAGAACUUGGAGACAGACUUUAUUUUGAGGCCCAGUUCUCCUAGGCAGUUAUUUAACUGCUGCUAAAACACAGUUCCUUUAAUUUGUAAAUCGAUAUAAUUUUUCUUUUCUUUUGAGACAAGGUCUCAAGCUUGCCCAAGGUGGAGUGCUGUGGCUUGAUCUUGGCUCACUGCAACCUCCACCUUCCUGGGGUCAAGCGAUUCUCCCACCUCAACCUCCCAAGUAGCUGGGAUUACAGUCACACAACACCUUGCCCGGCUAAUUUUUGUAUUCUUAGUAGAGAUGGGGUUUCACCAUGUUGGCCAGGCUGGUCUUGAACUCUUGGCCUCAAGUGAUCCACCUUCUUUGGCCUACCAAAGUGUUGGGAUUACAGGGGUGAGCCACCAUGCCUGGCCAAUGGGUAUAAUUUCUACCUAAUAGAAGUAGUUACUGAUAAUUGGAUUUUUAUUUAUGUGUAAAACAAGAUAGGCUGGGUGCAGUGGUUCAUGCCAGUAAUCCCAUCACUUUGGGAGGCCGAGGCAGGUGGAUCACUUGAGGUUAGGAAUUCCAGAACAGCCUGGCAAAGAAGGUGAAAUCCCGUCUCUACUAAAAAUACAGAAAAAUUAGCUAGCCAUGGUGGUGCAUGCUUGUAGUCCCAGCUACUCAGGACACUGAGACAGGAGAGUUGCUUUAACCCAGGAGGUGGAGGUUGCAGUGAGCCAAGAUCAUGCCACUGCACUCCAGCCUAGGCAGACAGAGUGAGACUGUGCCUCAAAAAGAAAAAAAAAAAACGGAGCACAGUUGCUCACAUCUGUAAUCCCAGCAUUUUGGGAGGGUUAGGUGGGUGGAUCAGAUCACCUGAGGUCAGGAGUUCAAGACCAGCCUGACCAAGGUGGAGAAACCCUGUCUCUACUAAAAACGAAAUUAGGCAGGUGUGGUGGCGCAUGCUUGUAAUUUCAGCUACUCGGCAGGCAGGAGACUUGCUUGAACCUGGGAGGUGGAGGUUGGAAGUUGUGGCGAGCCGAGAUCGUGCAAUUGCACUCCAGCCUGGGUGACAGAGCAAGACUCUGUCUCAGAAAAUAUAAAAAAUAAAUAAAUAAAAGUCCAAAGAAUUGGGAUGUGAUUUAAAGACAGAUAAAUGAGGUCUUUUUCAGGGGUAUCCUAAGUUGGCCUUAGAGAUGAAUUAAAAAAUAAAAAGGCAAUAGAAACUUAGCGGUCUUUAACAGUUCAUCCCAUAUGUUUGCUGAUCUUAGCAGAGAAGCAGAUGAUGGCAAUGAACAUCAAAAGCCCAAGAAGUGUCCAUGCUAAUUUUGCAUGGCUCUGUGAGGAGCUGUCAAAUAUGGAUCAUCAAAUAUAGUAUAUGCAAUGAACCUUUACUUUGCAAUGUAGCUCUUUAAAGUUUGAGUCUACCCUUCUAUUUUGUGUUGUAGUUAAAUGCAGAAAUUGAAGUACAAAUUCAGAAUAAUCCAGAGCUUGUUAUCCUUUUCUGUGACUUUAUAGCUUUGGAGUUGGCUAGACCUUUCAAUCAAAUUAGCCGAUGGUGACAAAUUUGUAAUUUGACCUCUCUAGCAGCUCCAGUGAAAUGCUAAUAUCGGGCAUAGCACAGCUCCCUUGACACACUACUUUGACCUUUUCCUUCUCUUACAAAUGUUUCCCUUAUUUCUUUGUUAAUUUAGCCAUCUCCAUGCAACAGAGUUCCUGCCUGCUUUUAAUUUUUCAAAGCCACAUGAGAACAGACAUUUAAGCAACACAGAUUUAUUCAUUUUGGCCUUAUAUCCCUAGAGCUAUACUAACUUUAUGGCUGGGACUAAAGGUAGAAGUAGUUGAGAUAGGGAAAUUCAGAAUGGUAAGAGAGAAGUGUGGGAGGUGAUGGUUUUAGUUCCUACUGCAUUCCCCAGCCAACUGCUUAAAUUAAGCUCCCCCUUAAUUUUCCCUUUUAAGUUGGGCUGGCUAAGUAGUUGAAGCUAUAUUCUUUUUUUUUUUUUGAGAUGGAGUUUCGCUGUUGUUACCCAGACUGGAGUGCAAUGGCAUGAUCUCGGCUCACCGCAACCUCUGCCUUUUGGGUUCAAGCAAUUCUCCUGCCUCAGCCUCCCGAGUACUGGGACUACAGGCAUGCACCACCAUGCCCAGCUAUUUUUUGUAUUUUUAGUAGAGACGGGGUUUCACCUUGUUGACCAGGAUGGUCUCGAUCUCUUGACCUCGUGAUCCACCUGCCUCGGCCUCCCAAAGUGCUGGGAUUAUAGGUGUGAGCCACCGCACCCGGCCGAAACUAUAUUCUUAGCCCUUCUUAAAUAUAUGACAUCUAUAAAUAAGAUACUAUAAGGUGCUUUAGAAAAACACAAACAUGUUCAAGGAUCCUCCUGCCUCAGUCUCCCAAGGUAUGUGUCACCAUGCUCUACUAAUUAUAAAAUUUUAUUUAGUUUUUUAUUUUAUAGAGAUGGGGUCUCGCUUUAUUGCCCAGGCUGAUCUCAAACUCCUGGGCUCAACUGGUCCUCCUGCCUUGAGCUCCCCAAGUGCUGGGAUCACAGGUGUGAGCCACCUUGCAUGGCAGUAGCUGGGAUUAUAGGCACACAUCGGCUGAUUUUUGUUGUUAUUUCUAUCAGUCUUUCUUUGCUUAUUAACAUUCUCCUGCAGAGCAUUUUCUUUCUUUCUUUUUUUUUUUUUUUUUUUGAGAGAGUUUCGCUCUUGUUGCCCAGUCUGGAGUGCAAUGGCGCGAUCUUGUCUCACCGUAACCUCUGCCUCCGGGGUUCAAGCAAUUGUCCUGCCUCAGCCUUCCAAGUAGCUGGGAUUACAGGCGUGCACCACCAUGCCUGGCUAAUUAUUAUAUUUUUGGUAGAGAUGGCGUUUCACCAUAUUGGCCAGACUGGUCUCAAUCUUCUGACCGCAGGUGAUCCACCUACACCUGGCCUAACUUUUUAGGAACUGCUAAAGUGUUUUCCAAAUGCCUGUACUAUACCAUUUUGCAUUUCUACCAGUAAUAUAUGACAGUUUCACUUGCUUGUUGAUGUUUUUAUUUUGUUUUGUUUUAGAAUUGUCAAGGAAGCACUGUACUGGGUGAAACGGAUUUUGGUUAUCUCAUUUCUGUAAUGAAAGGCAUAAUCUGUUACCUGUUUUAGAAUGUAGGGUCCCUUGCUAGUUAUCUUCUGUUGGGGCUAGUGCAGUUCUUACUUACACAUCAUUUGCAGAAAUAACAGUAACUACCAUUUGUGUAUCAGGACAAUUUUCACAUGUUUAAUUUUUGGAUUGGGAGCUGUGAGGGGACAUUCUCUUUUUCUUUUCUUUUUUUUUUUUUUUUUUGAGACGGAGUUUCGCUCUUGUUACCCAGGCUGGAGUGCAAUGGCGCGAUCUUGGCUCACUGCAACCUCCGCCUCCUGGGUUCAGGCAAUUCUCCUGCCUCAGCCUCCUGGGUAGCUGGGAUUACAGGCACGCGCCACCAUGCCCAGCUGAUUUUUUGUAUCUUUAGUAGAGACAGGGUUUCACCAUUUUGACCAGGAUGGUCUCAAUCUCUUGACCUCGUGAUCCACCCGCCUCGGCCUCCCAAAAUGCUGGGGUUACAGGCUUGAGCCACCGCGCCCGGCCCAUUCUGUCUCUUUUUUAAGUAGAGGUGUAAGAGGAAGAUAUGGCUAGGCGAGGUGGCUCAUGCCUGUAAUCCCACCACUUUGGGAGGCCAAGACAGGUGGAUCACCUGAGGUCGGGAGUUCGAAACCAGCCUGACCAAUAUAAAAUCCAUCUCUACUAAAAAUACAAAAAUUAGCUGGGCAUGGUGGUGGGUGCCUGUAGUCCCAACUACUCGAGAGGCUGAGACAGGAGAAUUGAUUGAACCCAAGAGGCGGAGAUUGCAGGGAGUCAAGAUUGUACCACUACACUCCAGCCUGGGUGACAGCGAGACUUUAUCUCAAAAAAAAACGAAGAUAUAGAUGUUACCCCAGUCCUUUCUUUUACCUCCAGUUUAUGAGCAGGGCAGUCUUGAGCAACUGAUAUUUGGAUUUUGAGGGUUAAUGUCGUCUUUUGUGAAAUGGGCCGCUAAAACUCCCCUGUCUACUCGAAAAGGAGAGAAUCAGUUGAGGCACUGUUAAAGGAUGUUUUGAACAUGAUAUGUUACCUCAUGAGUAAUUUUGUAGUACUCUCCAUUUGUAGUGGUUUCCAUAGUUGUUUAAGGGAACAAGUUUGCAGAAAAAAAUGGUUGUAUAGAAAUAGAAGGGGGCUGGGCACGGUGGCUUACACUUAUAAUUCCAACAUUUUUUUUUUUUUUUUUUUUUUUUGAGACAGUUUCGUUCUUGUUAGCCAGGCUGGAGUGCAAUGGUGCGAUCUGGGCUCACCGCAACCUCCACCUCCUGGGUUCAGGCAUUUCUUCUGCCUCAACCUCCUGAGUAGCUGGGAUUACAGGCACACACCACCAUGCCCAGCUAAUUUUUUGUAUUUUUAGUAGAGACAGGGUUUCACCACGUUGACCAGGAUGGUCUCGAUCUCUUGACCUCAUGAUCCCCCUUCCUCAGCCUCCCAAAGUUCUGGGAUUACAGGCGUGAGCCACCGCGCCCGGCCCAACACUUCUUUAGUAGAGAUGACGUUUCACCAUAUUGGCCAGACUGGUCUCCGUCUUCUGAUCUCAAGUGAUCCACCCACCUUGGCCUCCGAAAGUGCUGGGAUUACAGAUGUGAGCCACCACACCUGGCCUAUACUUAACUUUUUAGAAACUGCCAAAAUGUUUUCCAAAAUGCCUAUACCAAACCGUUUUACAUUUCCACCAAAAUGGGAGACAGAAUGAGACUCUCAAAAAAAAAAAAAACAAAAAAGAAAAGAGGCUGAAUGCAGUGGCUCACGACUGUAAUCUCAACACUUUGGGAGGCCAAGGCGGGUGGAUCAUGAGGUCAGGAGUUUGAGACCAUCCUGGCCAACAUGGUGAAAUCCCAUCUCUACUAAAAAUACAAAAAAAAAAAAAAAAAAAAAAAAGAAAGUUAGCUGGGCGUGGUGGUAUGCACCUGUAGUCCCACCUACUCAGGAGGCUAAGGCAGUAGAAUCGCUUGAACCCUGGAAGCGGAGGUUGCAGUGAGCUAAAAUCGUGCCACUGCACUCCACCCUGGGAGACAGAGCGAGACUCUGUCUCAAAAAGGAAAGAAAUAGAAGGGACUGGAUAUGGUGGCUGAAGCCCAUAAUCCCAGCAUUUUGAGAGGCCAAGCUGGGAAAAUUGAGUCCAGGAGUUUGAGAUCACACUGGGCAACAUAGUAAGACCCUGUCUCUACAAGAUAAUGAUGAUAAUAAUAGUAUAAAUUAAAACAAAAAAGAAUAGAAGCAAUUUAAUGCAGCAGCUGAAUAGCAAAAUGGCCAGUACUACUGCAGUACACAGGCUGGGCGCAGUGGCUCACACCUGUAAUUCCAGCACUUUGGGAGGCCGAGGCGGACAGAUAACAAGGUCGAGAGAUCAAGGCCAUCCUGACCAACAUGGUGAAACCCCAUCUCUACUAAAAUACAAAAUUUACCUGGGCGUGGUGGUGUGCGCCUGUAAUCCCAGCUACUCGGGAGGCUGAGGCAGGAGAAUGGCUUGAACCCAGGAGGUGGAGGUUGCAGUGAGCAAGAUCGAGCCACUGGACUCCAGCCUGAUGACAAAUCAAGACUGUCUCAAAAAAAAAAAAAAAAUACACACAGAGACACAGGAUCCCUCAUUUUUCAUAUUUUCUUUGUUUUAUAUGAGUAACACAUGAAUACAUUGAAAAAUUUAAGCAAUACAGAUAAAAAUCCCCUUUUUACACUAAGUAAAACCAUUCAUUAACAACUGUAUUGUGAGCUGUCAGAUGCAGGGAUUGCACUAAGUGCCAUAGGGUGGCCGGGGUAGCUAAGAUUCAGUCCCUGUCCUCAGUGAUUUUCCAGUUUGUUUUUCCUUCUGUGCCCUAACACUUUGUUGGUAGCUCUUGCAAUAAAAACUUUUUUUUGGCUGGGUGCGGUGGCUCAAGACUAAUCCCAGCACUUUGGGAGGCUGAGGCGGGUGGAUCACAAGGUCAAGAGAUCGAGACCAUCCUGAUCAACAUGGUGAAACCCCAUCUCUACAAAAUACAAAAAAUUAGCUGGGCAUGGUGGCGCCUGCCUGUAAUCUCAGCUACUCAGGAGGCUGAAGCAGGAGAAUUGCCUGAACCCAGGAGGUGGAGGUUGCGGUGAGCCGAGAUCAUGCCAUUCCACUCCAGCCUGGGUAACGAGCGAAACUCCAUCUCAAAAAAACAAAAAAGAAAAAAACAACAAACCUUUUUUUUUUUUUUUUUAAGGAUACCCUCCUUAGCAAUUUUGUCAAGAGAGUACCAAUAAAAACUUUUAAACAAAGGUGUUAAGUUUAGAUAGUGAUUAGCCAUCUUUUUCCCUUGUAAUUGCUGCCGUUGAGUGAGAGCUCUGUUGGGAAAUAGUGAAACAAGGAUUCUGGUUCAAUCAAUGGAGGCAGGGAAUUUUCAGGAAGGAGAUGGGAUGCCAUCCAUGCCUUAGAGCCACUGGGCACUUAGCUGCAGCUGUGGAUAUCAACACUUGGCUAGCUGAGUUUUCUUUAGGUCUGUAAAUAGUUCAUGCUAAUUUUGUGGAUGUUGGACUCUGAGGAAUGAUGUAGUCUGUGGGGAGAAUGUUACAGUCCAUAAAAACUGUAACUAGUAAGUAGCCAUUUGAAAUACUAAAAUCAAUUUCUGAUUAUGUGAAUGUCCCUUUUUUGUGUACUAUUUUAGCUUACUUGCCAGUUCAGUUUCUUGGUGUUACUCUGAUAGUUAAAUUCAAUAAGUCAUUUAUUUAAGGGCCUGAUAUUUGUAUUCUAUUAGAAGGACAAACAGCUAUUUAUACUAGAAGGUGGACUAUAAUGAAUUCUCAUUACAGUGACUAAAAGUUAUUGAUUUUCUAGGCUAUUCUUGAUUUCAGAUACUCAUUUACUUUGACAAACAUUUACUGAAUUUCUUGUAUCAGAUCCUGGGGGAUAUAAAGAGAGUUCUAAGGUCCUGGAGGAGCUUAUAUAGUACAGUAAGGGAGAUAGAUUGAUAGCUUCAGUACCAAAUGCUAAGCACUGUUAAUGGCACAUAACGUUCCACUAAGGAUGGACAUCUGACCUAAUGUGUAAGUGUGCAUGUGUGAGUGUGUUUCCGAAAAGUAUUUUCUUAGGGAAAAUACUUGUUUUGAGCCAGUUUUCUUAGGGAAAAUACUUGUUUUGAGCUAAUCUGUUUUACCUAAAAACUUAGUAAAAUAAUUUCUGGAUUAGCUAUGUAUUCACCUAAUUUAGCAUUUGAAAUGGACAAAAAAUAUUUAGUGAAGUUUCUCUCACCUCUGCUCCAGCUAGUCUUUUCCCCUUCCUGGAAGCAGCUAGCAUUACAGUUUCUUCUGGACCCUUUUGAUACAUGCCUGUAGGCCAUAUAAUGUCAGUACAUAAAGAACUUCCUCAUUUUGCAUUGUAUUUCAUUAUAUGAAUGCACCAUACUUUUUUCCCAGUGCUGGUGGACAUUUACCUUUCUCAACCCUUUACUUUUGCAACAGUGCUGCAUUACCUUGUAGAAAUUGUCUUUAAAAAAAAAAAAAAUUGUCUUUUCAUAGAUCUGUAGAAUAAAUUCCUAGAAGUAGAAUUGCUGGGGCAAGAGGUUUGCAUAUUUGUGUAAUUUUGGUAGAUAUUGCCAGAAUACCCUCUGGAGAGGUAUCAGCCAAGUGAAGAAUGGGUAGGAGAUAGGUGAAGUUGAGGCUGGGUCAGUUUAUGAGCGUAAGGGAGACUAAAAGUAGUUAUGUACUAUUGAGGUGUAACGUGCUAGGUAAAGGGUGUCAGGAGAUGGGAGUAGGCAGGGGCCACAUCCCUUUGCCUUGUGUUGUUUUUCUUUGUUUGUUUGACGGGGACUCGCUCUGUUGCCCAGCCUGGAGUACAGUGGCAUGAUCUUGGUUCAUCAUAACCUCUGUCUCCCUGGUUCAAGCUAUUCUCCUGCUUCAGCCCCCGCUGGGAGCUCGGAUUACAGAUGUGCACCACUACACCUGGCUAAUUUUUUGUAUUUUUUGGUAGAGACAGGGUUUUGCCAUUGCUCAAGCUGGGGUUGAACUCCUGGGCCGCCCACCUCGGCCUCCCAGAGUCCUGGGACUACAGGCAUGAGCCACUGUGCCCGGCCUGACUUGGUUUUUAUACUUGGAUUUUUUUUUUUUUUUUUUGAGACGGAGUUUUGCUCUUGUUACCCAGGCUGGAGUGCAAUGGCGCGAUCUCGGCUCACCGCAACCUCCGCCUCCUGGGUUCAGGCAAUUCUCCUGCCUCAGCCUCCUGGGUAGCUGGGAUUACAGGCACACGCCACCAUGCCCAGCUAAUUUUUUUUGUAUUUUUAGUAGAGAUGGGGUUUCACCAUGUUGAUCAGGAUGGUCUCGAUCUCUUGACCUCUUGAUCCACCCGCCUCAGCCUCCCGGAGUGCUGGGAUUACAGGCAUGAGCAACUGCGCCUGGCCUUUUUUUUUUUAAUUAACUUUUAAGUUCAGGGCUACAUGUGUGGAUUUGUUACAUAGGUAAACUUGUAUCACACAGGUUUGUUGUACAUAUUAUUUCCUUACCCAGGAAUUAGCCUAGUACCUGUUAGUUAUUUUUCCUCAUCCUCUUCCUCCUCCCACUCUCCACCUUCUAAUAGGUUCCAGGGUGUUUCGUUCCCCUCUUUUUUUUUUGGAGACAGAGUUUCUCUCUGUCACUAGACUGGAGUGCAGUGGCAUGAUCUUGGCUCACUGCAAUGGCAUCCUCCCUGGUUCAGGCGAUUCUCAUACCUCAGCCUCCUAAGUAGCUGGGAGUAGAGAUGUGUGCCACCACGCCCAGCUAACUUUUGUAUUUUUAGUAGAGAUGGCGUCUCUUGACCUCGUCAUCUGCGUGCCCUGACCUCCCAAAGUGCUUGGGAUUACAGGUGUGAGCCACCUGCCUGGCCCUGUUCUCCCUUACAUGUCUAUGUGUUCUCAUCAUUUAGCUCCUAGUUGUAAGUGAAAACAUGUGGUAUUUGUUUUUCUGUUCCUGUGUUUGCUGAGGAUAACAGUGUUCAGCUCCAUCCGUGUUGCUGCAAAAGACAUGGUCUUGUUCAUUUUUAUGGCUGCAUUUAUAAGACGAGGGAUUUAUUUAUUUAUUUAUUUAUUUUUUGAGACGAAGUCUUGCUCUGUCACCUAGGCUGAAGUGCAAUGUUGAGAUCUCAGCUCACUGCAAUCUCUGCCUCCUGGGUUCAAGCAAUUCUCCUGCCUCAGCCUCCCAAGUAGAUGGGGUUACAGAUACCUCUACCACCAUGCCUGGCUAAUUUUUUGUAUUUUUAGUAGAAACAGGGUUUCAUUCACCAUGUUGGCCAGGCUGGUCUCAAACUCCAGACCUCAGGUGGUCCACCUGUCUCAGCCACCCCAAAGUGCUAGGAUUAUAGGCGUGAGCCAUUGCACCUGGCCAAGGGGUUUAUUUAAACUUCUGCUAUCAGAAGUAGGAAAUUGGGAUCCCAUUAGGGAUUAACUAAUUGGUUUGACUUCAGAUUUUUAGCUUGAAGUCUGCUGAAGAGUUAAUUCAUUGAGAGUCUGGCCAUGUGGGGAGCACAAACUUACUUGUUUUAGGGAAAGGAUCUCUUUGUACAUUUUUCAUUGGCCGGAUCAGUCAUUUCAUGUGAACCCUUUUCAUGAUUAUAGGGAAAGCAGGCAGAUAAUUCAUACCAAUUAAAUAUUAGAACAUGUCAGACCUGACAUGGUGUCACCUGUCUCAUGCCUGUAAUCCCAGCACUUUGGGAGGCCUCAGGAUGGAUCACUGGAGGUCAGGAGUUCGAGACCAGCCUGGCCACAUGGUGAAACUCUUUUGCUACAAAAAAGACAAAAAUUAGCUGGGUGUGGUGGCGUGUGCCUGUAGUCUCAGCUACUUGGGAGGCUGACGUAGGAGAAUCUCCUGAACCUAGGAGGUGCAGGUUGCAGUGAGCCAAGAUGAAACUACUGCACUCCAGCCUGGAAGACAAAGUGAGACUCCCUCUCAAAUUAAAAAAAAAAAAAAGGGCCGGGUACGGUGGCUCACGCCUGUAAUCCCAGCACUUUGGGAGGCCAAGGCGGGUGGAUCAUGGGGUCAAGAGAUCGAGACCAUCCUGGUCGACAAGGUGAAACCCUGUCUCUACUAAAAAAUAUCAAAAGUAGCUGGGCAUGGUGGUGCACAUCUGUAGUCCCAGCUACUUGGGAGGCUGAGGCAGGAGAAUUGCUUGAACCCAGGAGGUGGAGGUUGCGGUGAUCCGAGAUCGUGCCAUUGCACUCCAGUCUGGGUAACAACAAUGAAACUCCGUCUCCAAAAAAAAAAAGAACAUGAUAGACUGAUUCAGAUCCCAAGAUGAAGGGGGAAACCAAGGCUUCAGAUUUUAUUAAGCUUACCCUAAAUAGUGAUGUUUUUAAAAGGAAACCUUUGGGGAAAUAUCUGUCAGUAACAGAUGUCUAAAUUUUUCCUUAUUUAAAAAGGUCCUGGCUGAGCAUGGUGGCUCACACCUGUAAUCUCAGCACUUUGGGAGGCCAAGGUGAGUGGAGCAUUUAAGGUCAGGAGUUUGCAACCAGCCUGGCUAACAUGGUAAAAUCCUGUCUCUACUAGAAAUACAGAAUUAGCCAGGCAUGUAAUCCUAAAAUUGGCAGGUGCCUGUAAUCCCAGCUAAUCGGGAGGCUGAGGCAGGAGAAUCGCUUGAAUCUGGGCGGCGGAGGUUACAGUGAGCUGAGACCACACUAUUGCACUUCAGCCUGGGCAACAAGAAUAAAACUCGACCUCAAAAAAUAUAAAUAAAUAAAUAAUAAAAAGGAGGUCUUUAUAUUUAGGUAGACAGUAUGGCUUAGUGCAAAAGGAGUUUUGGGUUGGUGUUUUUCAACACUUGGAAUCUGUUUAUCAGUGACUGAAGUUUUGUCUAUAGUCAAUUACUUAAUCUUGAAUUCACUAAAAGCAAUUUUUGCUUAUGGCUAAAAAUGCAAGCAUGUUUAUAAAACAAAACAUUACCUAUAGUAGCUUUUUGGAAGAUAGCCUUUUUUCUGUUAUUUUUCUCUUUACAUAAACUUUUUUGUUUUGAGACAGAAUUUGACUUUAUCACCCAGGCUGGAGUGCAGUGGUGCGAUCUCAGCUCACUGCAAACUCAGCCUCCCAGGUUCAAGGGAUUCUCUUGCUCCAGCCUCUUGAGUAGCUGGGAUUACAGGUGCCUACCACCAUGCUCAGCUUAUUUUUGUAUUUUUGGGGUUUCACCAUGUUGGGCUGGUCACAAACUCCUGUCCUCAAGUGAUCCACUGGCAUUGGCCUUCCAAAGUGCUGGAAUUACACGUGUGAGCCAUCAUGCCCGCCAUAAACUUUUUAUUAAACAGAUAAAAUACAUAAAUCAUAAAUGUACAGCCCAGUGAAUUUUCACAGAGUGAUCAUAUCUGUGUAGCUACUAUGUAGAUCAAGAUAGAAAACAUUAGUGCAUGGUGGCGCAUGCCUAUAGUCCCAGCCACUCAGGAGGCUGAGGCCACUUGAGGAUCACUUGAUCCCAGGAGUUGUGAGGUUGCAGUGAGCUGUGAUCAUGCGUGCCACUGCCCUCCAGCCUGGGCUGCAGAGCAAGACCCUGUCUCAAGAAAAAAAAGAAGGCUGUGAGUGGUAGGUCACGCCUAUAAGCUCAGCACUUUGGAAGGCCGAGAUGGAGGUUGCAGUGAGCAGAGAAAAUGCCAUUGAACUCCAGCCUGGGCAACAGAGGGAGACUCUAUCUCAAAAAAAAAAAAGUUAGCUGGGGGUCGUGGCACACACCUGUAGUCCCAGCUACUCAGGAGACUGAGGCAGGAAAACACUUGAACCCAGGAGGUUGAAGUUGCAGUGAGCCGAGAUCUUGCCACUGCACUCCAGCCUGGUGACAGAGCAAGACUCUGUCUCAAAAAAAAAAAAAAAUAAAAAAAAAAAUAUCCAAGUGCGGUGGUGUGCACCUGUAAUCCCAGGCUUCUCGAGAGGCUGAGGCAGGAGAACCGCUUGGACCUGGGAGGUGGAUGUUGCAGUGAGCCAAGAUCGUGCCACUGCACUCCAGCCUGGGUGACAGCAAGACUCCCACUCAAAAAAAAAAAAAAAACAAAGAAAGAAAAAGAAAAAUAUUAACAGCAAGCACUUCAGAACCCCACCUCCUUACUUGCCAGUCAGUCUCCCUCCUUCUCCCAGGGGUAACCACUAUCCUGACUUCUUUUUUUUUUUUUUUUUGAGACGGAGUUUCGCUCUUGUUACCCAGGCUGGAGUGCAAUGGCGCAAUCUCGGCUCACCGCAACCUCCGCCUCCUGGGUUCAGGCAAUUCUCCUGCUGCAGCCUCCCGAGUAGCUGGAAUUACAGGCACGCGCCACCAUGCCCAGCUAAUUUUUUGUAUUUUUAGUAGAGACGGGGUUUCACCAUGUUGACCAGAAUGGUCUCGAUCUCUCGACCUCGUGAUCCACCCAUCUCGGCCUCCCAAAGUGCUGGGAUUACAGGCUUGAGCCACCACGCCCGGCCGCACUAUCCUGACUUAUGUUGCCAUUCAUUAGUUUUGCUUUUUGCUGUUUGAACUUUAUAUAAAGAGUCAUAUAAUGUGUAUUCUUCCAUAUCUGGCUUCUUUUGCUCAACAGUAAUGAUACAUGUUUUUGUAUUUAGCAAUAACAGGCCAUUUUCACUGCUGUACAGAGUUUGGCCACAAAAAUAUACCACAAUUGGUCCAUUCUAUUGUUGAUGGAUAUUCUGAUUGUUUCUAGUUUUUGACUAAUAGGAAUAAUGCUGCAAGUAAUAUUCUUCUUUGUAUUUGGGUGUGUGUAUGUAUGUCUUUUUGUGGGUGUAUGCUUAGGAUUGGAGGGACAUUCACUAUAGUAUGGAUAUGUUCAGCUUUAGUAGAUGCAGCUGUUGUCAAAAAGUUUUCCAGAGUUGUUUUAUCAGUCAGUGCUUGCAUCAGUAGUCUGUGAGAGUUCCAUUCAUUACACAUCCUCUCCAGACUGACAACUUCUUGUUGUUAGUAUUUAACCUUUUUGCGGAGGCUCUGCUUUGUGAGAUAGGUAUAGGGGAUACAGUCACAAAAUAGUGCUGCUUUCAUAGACAUUGAAUUUUAAUGUGAUUAAAAAUGAAUGUUUUACCUGUUUAAUAUAUUCAGGUAUUGAUAAAUACUAAGGAAGUAUUUUGGAUAAAGAGAAGAGGGUGAUGGGGAAAUGCUGUGUUGUUGUUGUUCGGAUAAUGAGAAGAGGGUGACGGGGAAAUGCUGUUUUGUUGCUGCUGCUGCUCCUGUUUUAGGGGUCUGUUGCUUAGGCUGCUGCAAUUUUGGCUCACUGCAGCCUCUGCCUCCUGGGUUCCAGCAAUUCUCCCGCCUCAGCCUCUCCCAAGUAGCUGGGAUUACAGGCACACCAGCCAGCACACCCAGCUACUUUUUUGGGUAUUUUUAGUAGAGACAGGGUUUCACCAUAUUGGUCAGACGGGUCUCAAAUUCCUCCCAAAGUGCUGGAUACAGUCGUGAGCCACUGUACCUGGCCUGUUGUUGUUGAGACGCAGUAUAACUCUGUCUCCCAGGCUACAGUACAGUUGCCCGAUCUUGGCUCACUGCAACCUCCACCUCUUGGGUUCAAGCAGUUCUCCUGCCUCUGCCUUCCCAGUAGCUGGGAUUACAGGUGUGUGCCACCACACCGAGCUAAUUUUGGUAAUUUUAGUAGAGAUGGGGUUUUGCCAUGUUGGCCAGGUGGGUCUUGAACCCCUUAUCUCAGGUAAUCCCCUUACCUCUGCCUCCCGAAGUGCUGAGAUUACAGGCAUGAGCCACAGUGCCCAUGCCUUGUUUUUUUUUUUUUAAUUUUUAAAAUUUGUUUUUAUUUUUGAGACUGUCUCACUUUGUUGUCCAGAUUGGAGUACAGUGGCGUGAUCAGAGCUUACUACAGCUUCGAGGAUCAAGUGCUUCUCCUACUAUGUACUCCCUCUCUCCCAGUAGCUAGGAUUACAGGCAUGUGUUACCUUGCCUGGCUGAAACUUUUAUUUUUAUUUUGUAGAGACAGGGGUCUCACAAAGUUGCACGGGCUUGUCUUGAACUCCUAGCUUCAAGCAGUCCCCCUGCCUAAGUGCUGGGAUUAUGGGUAUGAGCCACUGCACCUGGCCAGGAAUGCUAUUAGAUACAUUCUUUUCAAGUGACAUUUGAGCAGUGAUCUGAAGAAAGUAAGCUAGCCAGGUUCACAUCUGGAGCGGAGCAGUCCAGGCAAAGGGAAUAGCAGGUAUCAAUGCCCUGAGGCAGGAACAUGCUUGAUAUGUUUGCAGAGCAUCAAGGAAGCUGGAGCAGGGGAUAGAACUAGAAGCUGAUGUCAGGGAGGUAGGUGGGGGCCAGAGCGCACAGAGCAUUAGGGAUCAUGGUAAGGAUUUUGGAUUUUCUGAAUGAGAUCAGAGUUUUGAGCAGUAAAGUGACAUCCCCUUUACCUUUUAAAGAGAUUGCUUUUAUUAUUUAUUUAUUUAUUAUUUUUUAAGACAGGUCUUGCUCUGUUGCCCAGGCUGGAGUAGUACAGUGGUGGGAUCUUAGCUCACUGCAACUUCUGCCUCCCAGGAGAAUAGCUUGAACUUGGGAGGUGAAGAUUGCAGUGAGCCAAGAUCAUGCAAUUGUACUCCGGCCUGGGCAGCAGAAUGAGUAUCUGUCUUAAAAAAAAAAAAAAAGUUAUAAGCCAAGAGAAGGAGGUUGAUGGUGUGGACUAGACUGUUAAUGGAUGGUAGGGAGAAAUAGUUGGAUUCAGAAUAUUUUUAAGGUAGAAGCAAUAUGAUUUGACAGUGGAUUGAGUAUAGAGGAGCUGGGGUGGGUGUAGGGGAGGCAGUCAAGGAUGACCUUAAGAUUAUUGGGUUAGGUUAUUUAUUAAGUUUUGGGAAGAUUAGGGUAGAGGUGGGUAGGAGCCCCGGGUAGUUUUGGGAUAGGGUGAAGAAUCAAGAAUUGAUAAAGGGGUCAGGCGCUGUGGCUCAUAUCUGUAAUCCUAGCACUUUGGGAGGCUGAGUCAGGCGGAUCACCUGAGGUCAGUAGUUCAAGACCAGUCUGGCCAACAUGGUGAAAUCCCAUCUUACAAAAAAUACAAAAAUUAGCCAGGCAUGGUGGUGCAGUCCUGUAGUCCCAGCUACUCCGGAGGCUGAGACAGAAGAAUCACUUGAACCCAGGAGGUGGGGCUUGCAAUUGGGGGAGAUCAUGCCUCUGCACACCAGCCUGGGUGACGGAAACCAUGUGUCUUUGGCCUAAUAGUGAUAUCCUCCUGAAUGAAGGAUAAUGUUAUUUAUGCUGUAAUAAUUUAUCUAUUACUUAUUCUGUAGUGUUCUGCAUUGAAACUAUAAUUUUUUAUUUUUUAUUUAUUUACUUUUUUUGAGUCUCACUCCAGCCCAGGCUGGAGUGCAGUGGUAUGAUCCUAGCUGACUGCAACCUCCACCUCUCGAGUUCAAGCAAUUCUCCUGCCUCUGCCUCCUGAGUAGCUGGGAUUACAGGCACGUGCUCCCACACCUGGCUAAUUUGUUUUUUGUUUGUUUGUUUGAGACGGAGUCUCUCUGUCGCCCAGGCUGGAGUGCAGUGGUGCAAUCUUGGCUAAUCUCGGCCUCCGCCUCCCAGGUUCAAGCGAUUCUCCUGCCUCAGCAUCCUGAGUAGCUGGGACUAUAGGCACAUGCUACUGCGCCCAGCUAAUUUUUGUAUUUUUAGUAGAGACAGGGUUUCACCAUGUUGGCCAGGAUGGUCUCUAUCUCCUGACCUUGUGAUCCGCCCACCUCAGUCUCCCAAAGUGCUGGGAUUACAGGCAUGAGCCACCUCCUCGCCUGGCUUUAGUUUUUUGUUUUUGUAUUUUGAGAUGGAGUCUCACUUUGUUGCUCAGGCUGGAGCACAGUGGCGUGCCCUCAGCUCACUGUAACCUCCACCUUUUAGGUUCUUCUCAGCCUCCUAAGUAGCUGGAAUUACAGGCACAUGCCUCUAUGCCCAGCUAACUUUUGUAUUUUUAUUAAAGAUGGAGUUUCAUCAUGUUGGCCAGGCUGGUCUCAAACUCCUGAUCUCAGGUGAUCUGCCUGCCUUGGCCUCCCAAAUUGCUAGGAUUAUAAGUGUGAGCCAGCUUGCCCAUCUGACUCUGUAAUUUUUAAAUUGUUUUUCAUUUUUUGAAUUUAUUCUUAUAUUUUCGAGGCUUGCUCUCUCUCCCAGGCUGGAGUGCAGUGGCAUGAUCAGCCUCCUGUCCCAGCCUCCUGAGUAGCUGGGACUACACAUGAGCUAUGGGCUAACAUUUUUUAUGUUUUGUAGAGAUGCAGUCUUGCUGUUUUGCCCAGGAUGGUCUCAAAGUAACCUCCUGCUUUGUCCUCCUAAAGGACUGGGAUUAUAGUCAUGAGCCAUCUCGACACUAGUUUUUGCAAGAUAUUUUAGAAAAGUAAUUAUAUAGGCUGGGCAUGGUGGCUAACGCCUGUAACCCAAGCACUUUGGAGGCCAAGGCAGGUGGAUCACCUGAGGUCAGGAGUUCAAGACCAGCUGACCAACAUGGUGAAACCCUGUCUCAAAAAAAAAAAAAAAAAAAAAAAGGAAAAGUAAUUAUAUAUACAUAUUUUUUUUUUAGACAGAGUUUCGCUCUUGUUGCCCAGGUUGGAGUGUAAUGACGCGAUCUCAGCUCACUGCAACGUCUGCCUUCCGUGUUUAAGCAAUUCUCCUGCCUUAGCUUCCCAAAUAGCUGGGAUUACAGGUGGCUUCCCAAAUAGCCAUGACACCAGCCUAAUUUUGUAUUUUUAGUAGGACAGGGUUUCACCAUGCUUAUCAGGGUGCUCUGGAACUUGAGGUCUCUGACUCAUCUGCCUCAGCCUCCCAAAACAGUGGGAUUACAGGCGUGAGCCCCCACACCUGGCCAGGUCAUUCUUAAAAAUACCUAGCAAAUAGAGUAAAAGGUAAAAAUUCUCUUUCACCUCAUCGCUGAAAGUUUGUGUAUAUUUUUAGGCUUUUCAGUAAACAUUUAUAUAUACCUAUAGUACUCAGAUGCAUAGUAUUUUUCAUAAAUGGAACAAUAUUGUACAUAAUACUUUGCAGUUUUUAUAAUUUCCAAUCAGAUGGGAAUCUCACAAAACUAUUCUAGAGGAUCUUUGCUUUAAACAAUAGUAAAGACAUUAUUUAUCUCUUCUGUUGUUUUAAGUGCCUUGAAACAGAUUUUAUGAACCACAGCAACAUUCAGUAUUGAUUUGCUCAAUGUUAAUAUUGAGAGGCCUUCAGUUGUGAGAUCACACCUUUCAGAGAACUUCCUUUUUUUGGAGACAGAGUUUUGCUGUUGUUACCCAGGUUGGAGUGCAAUGGCUUGAUCUCAGCUCACCGCAACGUCCGCCUCCUGGGUUCAAGCCAUUCACCUGCCUCAGCCUCCUGAGUAGCUGGGAUUACAGUCACGCGCCACCAUGCCCAGCUAAUUUUUUUUUGUAUUUUUAGUAGAGAAGGGGUUUCACCAUGUUGACCAGGAUGGUCUCAAUCUCUUGACCUCAUGAUCACCCGCCUCGGCCUCCCCAAGUGCUGGGAUUACAAGCAUGAGCCACCACGCCUGGCCAAUUUUUGUAUUUUUAGUAAAGAUGGGGUUUCACCAUGUUGACCAGGAUGGUCUCGCCUCGGCCUCCCAAAGUGCUGGGAUUAUAGGCGUGAGCCACCGCACCCGGCCUGAGUCCUUUCUGUUGUUCAUGACAUACAGGAAGUAAAGAUUCCAGGUAGAUCCAGCUCUCGAGGCCUAAAUCCAUAGAAGCCUUGCCGUUUUUCAGCUCAUCACUUCCAUCAAGGUAUUUUGGUGAUUAUUUCUGUUAUUGUAAACGAAUUCAUAAGACAGAGUUGUACAUUUUGCCUUUUUUUUUUUUUUUUUUAAGACAGCUUUUCUGUUGUCCAGGCUGACGUGCAGUUGCAUGAUCCUGGCUCACUUCAACCUCCGGCUUCUGGGCUCAAGUGAUUCUCAAGUAGCUGGGAAUAUAGGUGCGUGCCACUAUGCCCAGCUAGUUUUUGUAUUUUUAGUAGAUAAGAGGUUUCCCCAUGUUGGCUAGGUUGCUACAUUUUGCUUUUAAUGUCUUACUGUUAAUGAUCCAUGCACAAAAUUCUUAUGCUAUUAGUAUUUUUCUCAGAAUGUCAACAGAAUUGAAAUGCCAGUGUGGGAUGAAAUUGAAUACUGUCAAAAGGCCUGCUCUGAGCCAAUCUCUGGACUAGGUCGACAUGUUGGGGAGAUAAUGAAGUAGGCUCUUGUUGGGAGACAGAACAGACCAAACAAAAUGAAUUUGUCUAUGACUCAGUUUUUAAGUAAUGAAGGUGAACUCAACUGAUAAGUAUAGGUUUAUAUUAAAUAAUGAUUAAGGAAGAAAAACUAACAUUUGUCUCUGUUUCUGUGGGUUUUGCAUCCAUGAAUUUAGCUAACCAUGGAUUGAAAAUAUUCAGGAAAAAAUAUAUAUAGAUCGUGGCCAGGCACUGUGGUUCGUGCUUGUAAUCCCAGUACUUUGGGAGGUUGAGGAGGGUGGAUCACUUGAGUGAGACCAGGAGGUGGAGACCAGCCUGGCCAAUGUCACGAAACCCUUUCUCUACUAAAAAUACAGAAAAUUAGCAGGUCAUUGUGGCAUGUGCCUGUGGUUCCAGCUACUCGGGAGGCUGAGGUGGGAGGAUCACUGGAGCAGUGGAGGCAGAGGUUGCAGUGAGCCGAGAUAGUGAUUUUGCAUUCCAGCCCGGGCAACAGAGCAAGACCCUGUCUCAAAAAAAAAAAAAAAAAAAAAAAGAUGGUUGUGUCUAUAUGGGCAGACGUUUUUUCAUGUCAUUAUUCCCUAUGGUAUACAGUCUGUUAGGAAUUACAAGUAA